AGUCUGACAGUGAGAAUCCAGAGGAGCAGGAAAGGGUGGAGCUGACUCUAGAAGGAGACGAAAUUCACUUGGGACAAGGGGUGAAACUCAGAAGAGAGCUGUGGAGAAGAAUAAAUAAUCACACCCGUGAUUCAAUGUUUGUGAAGGAGUUGGGCGUGGCAAUAUGGGGAACCAAGACUCUGGGGGAAAGGAGCCUUACAGGCAAGGAAUGCCCCACCACCAAAACAAAAAGGAUGCCUUUAACCCCAGAGAAACUCCACACAUUGAAAGUCUGCUUCAAGGACUGGCUUCAGACAAAAAAUGUGGAUGAGGCAGAGCUCUGGGCCAGAUUGGGAAAGGCUGGACGGUACCUGACAGAAAAAAUAAUGGACAUUAACAGACA